UAAAUGAAUUCAAUAAGCAUCUAGAUGUGAAAAGGGCAUCACUUGGACAUGCUUGGACAUGUUUGGUAAUGGCUCAAAAAAUGCAGUUCAUCAUGGUUGGUACAACCCUGUAUGUCCGGAUGGUGAGCUUGCUUUUCUCAUAGUCGUUGAGCAAUCUCCGCCAUGGAGAUAUGAAUGACUUAUGAAGUACCAAAGAUGAAGGUGGCUGCUUUGAGGUUUAUAGAGACAGCCGAUCAGCUUGCUCUAAGAGAUCCUCUUGGACAGAAUACGAUUACGGAAAUCAUGUUUGAAGGAGACAAAAGCUGAGUUUUUUUGUCGGAAGAAGGAUCCCUUUUGCACAUUGAUGAAGUUGCUUAUACAUUGAGGAAGACUAGGUGAUACUCCAAACUUUCUGGCUGCUACAUGCAUUUGUCUGCCUAUAAACUCUGUUUUUGUGCUAGGCUCGGUCAAGCUUCAAACAUGUAAUCCUCAAUGCAGUGAUGAGUUAUUAAGUUGCUUGGGAUUCUUUGUUCUGAAUUGAAAGUUUUGAUUUAAGUAGUACUACAUUUUAAGAUUUAAUUACUCGACCCAGUUAUAGUUUGGUUUGUUUUUUAGGUGAACCAAUUGUCCAGGUGUAUGCAUAAAAGUAGAAUUGAAUGAAUAGUAGAAAGACUGGUCAUGUUUGAUAAGUAAUACUCAUUUUCGCUUUCAUUUACAUGGUGUCCCAUAUUUGUCUGAUAUUUCAUUUAAAUGCAGGGAGAGAAAGUAAUACAAACAGUUAGGUUGGCCCUGGAUACUUAAAACAGGUAUAUGAUGUGGUGCAUUAGGCAUUGGGGUGUGUGUAUAACAGAUGAAGUAUAACUAAUAAACAACCCCAGUAUGCAGUAUGCUGGUCAGGAUGGGACAAAAUCAUGAGAAGAAGACUACAACGGUGUAGAUCAAGGUACAAGGAGAAUGCUCACAAAUAAAUCAAUGAGUAGGAGUAUCCCCAGUUAAGCCCAUAUCCAUCCAUUUCUGUCCUUCGGUAUAUAAACUGGAUAAAUUGGAUUGAGUAUUAUAGAUGAUUUCUGUCCUUUGGUUUUCAUAGAAUUAGUAUAUACAUUGUCUAUAAAAUGCCAGUCAGUGUUUUCGGUGUUACUCCUUCACCCUAUCCAAGUAAGUGGUUUGAUAUGGCUCAACUGUCUAUCUUCAGUUUGAAAAAUAGUGUAAAAUAUUCAGUUUCCAGGCAUGAACUCGAUUGCUUCGUAGUUGUUUCUUUCAGAUGGCUUGGAAAGAUUGCGAUUGAGACAUAUGUCUGGCGAAUACGUACCCAGCUAAGGUAUGCUCAGUUAUAUUUUGUAUAUGUAUCCUCGAAGAUGUGGGCAUCUUGGAGUCUUGAACUGGCAUGCCUUCUUUUCGACUCUAUGUAUUGAUACUUUAAUUAUAAUUCUAUUUAUCUUUAUCGAUCAAAAACAGAAAAAAAUUCUAAUUCCAUUUUUACUUGAUACUUUGUUCAUAUUCUGAUUAUAAUUAGUUUUUUGUUUUGUUUUUUUGUGCCAAUGAAUAGUUAGGGGUCUGAUAAUGAAAACAGAUUAUAAUUAAAAAUCCUAAUGCAGCUAAUGCCCACCAGUUGUUUCUGUCCUAUACUAAGAUAAGGUUUUUAAACCACGGUUCUGUGGCGCAAUGGUAGCACAUCCGACUCCAUGUCAGAAGGUUACGUGUUCGAGUCACGUCAGGUCCAAUUGCUGGUAUAUAACUAAGUGUCUUCGCUGAGAUGCACAUUAAUUGUUUAGUUUGUCAUCUGGGUAUUCUUUAUAGAUUCUCACAACGUUGAGAGAAAUUGACAUAGAAGUUGCCUACUUCUUUCUCCUGCAUAACUCAUUUCCCGGUCACUUGAUUGAAUUGGAGAUUACAAAUUGAAACUUCCCAACCUCCGUCGGAUGCUCUUAAAACAAUACUUAUACUUAUGCUUUUAUGGGUAGUUUUAAUUCUUUCAAUAUCUCUGCAUAAUGGCUUCGUUAAAACUGAUGUUCUUUUUUUUUUUUUUGCAGGAGUUCUUCACUUCUGAUCUAAUUCUUUUUCUUUGGCAAUACAGACUUGCACGAAAAGGUAAUAAGUGGACACAAUAGAUGACUAUAGUCUAUAGGCCUAAGCGUAUAUAAGAUCAUAGCUAAAGUUUUCAAAACUCAAUGGAGUGGUGUCAUGUGAACUAUUAAGUUGCGUCGAAUUCUCUAUUUGCAAUUGGAAGUUCUGCCGCAUUUGGCCAGUUAUAUUCUGCAGAAGUACCGGAGUUUCAUGCCAUGUAAGAAUAAACUCAUAGAAGCUCAGUAUGUAUUGGGCAUUUUGAACACUGGGACAAAAUGGAAAGCUUUAAAUUUGCGUACCCUGAGAGGUUGUUGGCGCAAAAUGCAGCGAAAGGAUUAGAAGAAAAUCCGGAGAAACACACUUAGUCCAUCACCGACUUUCAAAAUAGAGUAGGAAUCGAAUUGCCAUUUGAUGUUUUGUACGUGCAAUACGGGAUGGUCCUUCCAUCGUGAUUUGGAUGAAAACGGUAAAGUGAACAAUGAAGUUGAAAAGCUUAAUGAGGUCAUUAUCGAAGCAGAACAAGGUGACAUCGAUGACGACAUGCCUCUAUUUAUCAUAUUAGAUGUAGUUCAAAACCUUUAUAGAGUGGCUAACAAAGCAGGAAUACAGUUGGAGAUGGAGGCUGGAGGGAACUGUUUAUUCUUGAACACAUUUUUAAUAAGCACUUUAGCUCGAGUAGUGCUCAACGAUAUUGACAAUUCCCAUCAGAUCCGUUACAUUUUGCAAAGAGUAUAUCAGACAAUUUAAUUCCAAUUUAUUCUUAUUUGUACGUUAGAGCAAUUCCAAUUUAUUCUUAUUUGUACUCUUAGCUGGAGGGAACUGUUGCGGUGUUUGUGUUUGUUGUGGUGUUUGUUGUUGUGAUCGUUGUUGUGAGGAUGCCAUAUUUGUUAAAGGUGAAAUUUUUCUGAAA